GAAAUGCGAUAAGUAGUGUGAAUUGCAGAAUUCAGUGAAUCAUCGAAUCUUUGAACGCACAUUGCGCCCUUUGAUAUUCCUUAGGGCAUGCCUGUUCGAGCGUCAUCUAAACCUUCAAGCCCUGCUUGGUGUUGGGUGCCUGUCCCGCCUCCGCGCGCGGACUCACCUCAAAUCCAUUGGCGGCCCCCGCGUCGGCCACGAGCGCAGCAGAAACGCGAACUCGUGAGCCCGUCCGGGCGGCUCCCAGAAGCUACACCCACCCAGUUUGACCUCGGAUCAGGUAGGGAUACCCGCUGAACUUAAGC
rnacentral:misc_RNA from 1 species